UUGGAGGGCAGUCUGGUGCCAGCAGCCGCGUGUAAUUCCAGCUCCAAUAGCGUAUAUUAAGUUGUUGCAGUUAAAAAGCUCGUAGUUGAACUUCGGGGUCUACCCAUUGGUCAGGCUUAAUUGUCUGUACUGGUGAGAUGGAUCUCUACCUUCUGAGGAACUUUCAUGCCAUUUAUUUGGUGUGAUGGGAAAUCAGGACUGUUACUUUGAAAAAAUUAGAGUGUUUAAAGCAGACUAUCGUCUGAAUACAUUAGCAUGGAAUAAUGAAAUAGGACGGACUGAUUCUAUUUCGUUGGUUUCUAGGAUCACCGUAAUGAUUAAUAGGGAUAGUUGGGGGCAUUAGUAUUCAAUUGUCAGAGGUGAAAUUCUUGGAUUUAUUGAAGACUAACUACUGCGAAAGCAUUUGCCAAGGAUGUUUUCAUUAAUCAAGAACGAAAGUUAGGGGAUCGAAGACGAUCAGAUACCGUCGUAGUCUUAACCAUAAACUAUGCCGACUAGGGAUCGGACGAAGUUAAUUUUAUAAUGACUCAUUCGGCGCCUUACGAGAAAC
rnacentral:rRNA from 1 species